UUCCCGGUUUUCCCCACCUAGUUGAAAGUUCAAGAUCUCACCCGCAUACCCACAAGUCCAUCACGUGGUCCAAUUUCCCCCUGCCAUGAUGGCAAUUGCUCCCAUCCAGUUCCGGUCAGGUGCAGAGACAAAGGAUGACCUUGGCUUUCUAGAAAGGAUUUUGCUAUGGCUACUUCUCAUCUAAUUCCGUACAAUCUCCCCCCUCCCAUUUUCCCACCAUAGAAAAGGCAUAGUAAAACAAUAGAUUAAUAGAAAGUUUGACUUUGACACCCCCUGUCUUAGAGGAACCUGUAAGGGUCUUCGAUACCGCUGGCCUCCAGUCUUGUUUCUCCGGUUCCCAGAGCAAUCCGAAUUCCUACUCAUUCAAUAUUCCCCUCACUUCCUUUUUCUUCCUCCAGUGGCUGGAUUUUGGCCCUCUCCGCGACCCCAAACCUGGCCGUGAAGAUUAUCAUGAUGGUGGUCGCAAUGUUCUUCACCACUUGCGCCGUGCUCUCUCUCUUCCUGCUGAAACGAGUCCACUCGCUUUAUCGCCGGACAGGCGCCAGCUUCCAGAGAGCGCAGGAAGAAUUCUCCCAGGGCAUCCUCACCAACAGGAACUUUCAGUCGGCCGCCGGUGGGGCAGCUUCCGCCGCGGCUCAGAAUGCUUUCCGGGGAAACUGAGCCCGACCCCAGCGAGGCUCCUGCUUCCAUUCGUACACGUGACUCUGGUUUCAAAAUAAAGUUUGAAGAGAAAAGGGUCUGGUUUUAGCCCAGGCUCCUUUGAGGCAGAAUGGAUGACAGGCGGCUGCGUCGAAAAAAAAUCGCGAUUCUCGUUUUAUUCAACCCCAAAGCUUUGAACGACAGCCGUUAAAAAAAACACCUUUUUGAGGCUCCCCCUCAAGAGGCCCAUUUUGAGUUCUCUGCAAAACGAAUCAGUGUAAAAGGAAAACUUUGAGAAGAUCCCUCCUCAUCUGAUAGGCUGGAUCGAUCGAUCGACUUGAAAUUGGGGAUAUAGCUCUCAAAAAACACUAAACACUUUGAUUACUUCUGUAAACCUUAAUUAAAGCCAUCUCAGAAGCACACCUAAGGCUUUUAAAUAUCUUUUUAAUAGAUCCAAUGAAGGAAGAGCAUUCAGAGAACUUAGAUGAGGUUGCAAUUUCCCUAACCCUUGCUUUUUAAUCAUUUAGGUAAACCUUGGGUGUCUUUCUCCUCCCCAAAAAUACAUAGGUGUUUGGGCUGAGGUGUUUCCCCACCACCACCACAGAUGUUUCCAAACUUUUGUGAGAUCGGAUGUACCCUGGUGCAUCAUCUCUUGGUUUCUGUCUUCUUUUUUAUUUUUUUAUUCUUCUUCUUCGAAGAUAUGUAAUGAUGGCAGAAAUGAGAUUUUUUUAAGAAAGGAAAAACCUUCCCUUCU